GACAGGCUGUACUCCUGCAAACAUAGGUUUUAGUCCUGYUUCUNUCA
rnacentral:tRNA from 1 species